UGGGGAGCGAAAUUUAGUAGCGAAGUAGCUGAUUUCACACUGUCAAGAAAAGUCUCUAUCGAGGUUAAAGGUACCCGUACCGCAAACCGACACAGGUGGGUGAGGAGAGUAUCCUAAGGCCAGCGAGAGAACUGUUGUUAAGGAACUCGGCAAAAUGACCCCGUAACUUAGGGAUAAGGGGUGCCACCAUCAGGUGGCCGCAGAGAAUAGGCCCAAGCGACUGUUUACCAAAAACAUAGGUUUCUGCUAAGUCGCAAGACGAUGUAUAGGAGCUGACGCCUGCCCGGUGCUGGAAGGUUAAGGGGAUCUGUUAGAGCAAUCGAAGCAGUGAACUUAAGCCCCAGUAAACGGCGGCCGUAACUAUAACGGUCCUAAGGUAGCGAAAUUCCUUGUCGGGUAAGUUCCGACCCGCACGAAAGGCGUAACGAUUUGGGCACUGUCUCAACAACAGACUCGGUGAAAUUGUAAUUCCGGUGAAGAUGCCGGAUACCUGCGACAGGACGGAAAGACCCCAUGGAGCUUUACUGUAGCUUGACAUUGGGUCUUGGUACUACAUGUACAGGAUAGGUGGGAGGCUUUGAAACCAGGACGCCAGUUUUGGCGGAGCCAUCCUUGGGAUACCACCCUUGUAGUACUGGGACUCUAACCAUAGGCCAUGAAUCUGGUCUUGGGACACUGUCAGGUGGGCAGUUUGACUGGGGCGGUCGCCUCCCAAAAGGUAACGGAGGCGCUCAAAGGUUCUCUCAGUACGGUCGGAAAUCGUACGUAGAGUGUAAAGGCAAAAGAGAGCUUGAUUGCAAGACAUACAGGUCGAGCAAGGAUGAAAAUCGGACUUAGUGAUCCGGUGGUUCUGCGUGGAAGGGCCAUCGCUCAACGGAUAAAAGCUACCCUGGGGAUAACAGGCUUAUCUCCCCCAAGAGUCCACAUCGACGGGGAGGUUUGGCACCUCGAUGUCGGCUCAUCACAUCCUGGGGCUGUAGUAGGUCCCAAGGGUUGGGCUGUUCGCCCAUUAAAGUGGUACGCGAGCUGGGUUCAGAACGUCGUGAGACAGUUCGGUCCCUAUCCGUCGCAGGCGUAGGAAAUUUGAGAAGACCUGUCCUUAGUACGAGAGGACCGGGAUGGACG
rnacentral:rRNA from 1 species